rnacentral:rRNA from 1 species
CCACACCACCCUGAAAGCGUUUGAUCUUGGAAGCUAUCCAGGGCCUGGUCUGGUUAGUACAAGGAUGGGAGAUCUCCUGGGAAUACCAGGUG